AUUUAUAUAGUUUAUUUAAAACCUUACAUUUUCAUUGUAAAAUUAUAAAUUAUUUAUUAUAAAUA
rnacentral:tRNA from 1 species